rnacentral:rRNA from 1 species
AUGGCCGCUGUCCCGUGCCGCACCGAACGGCCGCUCGCCGGAUUCUCUCAGAUCUCAUCAACUCGAGGAGAGAGGACGGAGGGAGCGAGGGAGCGUACCAUGCGAGCGGUCGAGCAGGGGAUCGAGCGGGGAGGCGCUGGCGAUCUGCCCAGGCAGGGGCGCGGUCAACAGCACCAACGCUUGAUGCGUCUUGGCGAGGGCGGCGCUUGA